rnacentral:lncRNA from 1 species
ACGGAGGGAGUACUAAUUUAGUUUUUGGACUCUAUGUUGCUCUUUCUAUAGCACAAGACGAUCUUCACCGUGUGAAAGAUACUAUAGAUGAUGAAAAACGCAUGGGAUGAAGCAGUUGCCACACCGGCGCGGCGGUACGUCCCGCUGAACCAAAGAUGCAUACACAUACAUUGUACUACACCACAUCAUCAAAUCACAAAGGGAGCAUUAAUUGAUCCACUACAUGGAGCGCGCGAUGUGGAUGCAGAACAGCUAUCGACGGAAAAGGAAGGUUCUAGCCGAUGAUCUGGUCUAGGACGCCGGUGUUCUUGAGGCCGAGCACGAUGCCGACGCCCAAGAUGUGGCCGAAGGAGCCGCAUGCGAGCGUGUCGGCGAGCGUGAAGCCGGCCGGGUCGCCCGUCUGCAGCCCGGACUCGCGCGCCUCCAGCUUGAGCCCCGCCGUCGCCUUCCUGUUCGCCGACGGCGCCAG